CGGGAUGUAGCGCAGCCUGGCUAGCGCAUCUGCUUUGGGAGCAGAGGGUCGUAGGUUCGAAUCCUACCAUCCCGACCA
rnacentral:tRNA from 1 species